rnacentral:rRNA from 1 species
UCCUGACUGACCGAUAGUGAACCAGUACCGUGAGGGAAAGGCGAAAAGAACCCCGGCGAGGGGAGUGAAAAAGAACCUGAAACCGUGUACGUACAAGCAGUGGGAGCACGCUUAGGCGUGUGACUGCGUACCUUUUGUAUAAUGGGUCAGCGACUUAUAUUCUGUAGCAAGGUUAACCGAAUAGGGGAGCCGAAGGGAAACCGAGUCUUAACUGGGCGUUAAGUUGCAGGGUAUAGACCCGAAACCCGGUGAUCUAGCCAUGGGCAGGUUGAAGGUUGGGUAACACUAACUGGAGGACCGAACCGACUAAUGUUGAAAAAUUAGCGGAUGACUUGUGGCUGGGGGUGAAAGGCCAAUCAAACCGGGAGAUAGCUGGUUCU